UUGGCUCACUAACCUCAUGUGUACAAUGACAAACGUUUUAUAUUUGGGUUUGCUGUCUCCACUCUUCUUGGCCUCUUGACUUUCUUAGGACGACACCAGGGUGUACUGCACUGUUCAGGACACCAGAGAGGACAGAUCCACACAAGCAGAAAAGGAGGAUGACGUGACCUACUCAACUGUAGUCCAUGAUAAAAAACCCAGACUAGUCCAAGUGGAGGUGGACACAGGUGACGACACAGAAUAUGCCAGGAUCAAAACCAGAUGAGCCAUGACACCCCCACAGACCACCACACUUUGUUCAUGUAAGCACAGUUUGAGUGUUUUCAGUGUAAGAGUUUUUAUUAUGCUCACAUUUAUAGUUUGCUAAACAUACUACUCAUGCAAUUAUCACUUGAAUUUAUAAUGCUAUUCAUGAAAUGUUCAGUUUGAUAAAGAUUUGAACAAGUGCCUGUUAUGAUACAUGCUAAUACAUGUAAGCCUAAAAUCUCUAAGAAAUGAAGUGUUAGUUAUGUCUGUUACUGGAAAACUCUUGCGUUGAUGUAUAAAUUAGUUCACUGUCAUCAAUAUGGCUGUCGUCUAUUUUCUGUAAAUGAGAAUGCAUUAUAAAUGUAUAAGUAGAUGCAGACAAUGUAGGGUGUAUAUUUUGAACAAAUAAAAUAUUUUCUAAUGAAA